rnacentral:rRNA from 1 species
AUGGUAGAUUUCUCAGCAGGUCCACAGCUUGCCGUAUGUCUUCUUGCAAAAGCUUCAGAAUGCUGGCUCUGGCAUCGAAGGCUGGGGCAUGCUGGCAUGAGGAACUUACACACACUCGUCAAGAAGAAGCAUGUCAUUGGCAUCGAAGGUGUCAAGUUCAAGAAAGAUCAUUUGUGUGGUGCCUGUGAAGCUGGGAAGAUGACUAGGGCGAAGCACCCCUCGAAGACAAUCAUGACGACAUCUCAACCCUUCGAGCUGUUGCACAUGGACUUAUAUGGCCCUACUCACUACUCUACCCUCACAACAACAGCGUGUCUCUUUGACUUCGUUAUUGUUGAUGACUACUCAAGAUACACAUGGGUGCACAUAAUUCUCUACAAGACUGAAGUACAAGAUGUCUUCAGAUGA